rnacentral:lncRNA from 1 species
CUUACGUAGUCCAGGCUGGGCUUAAUUUUGCUGAGAUUAUUAUAUGUGCCACCAUACCUUACCAGUAGAGAGUAUUCUGGGAUAAUGUUGAUGAACUCUGAAAUCUGGAAUUGCAUUCUUUAGUCCAUUAAUAAAAAAACAGUCUUCCCUUUUGUUGAAUUUUAAUCUGUCCUCACUGCAUCCUUCCUUAGUUUUUUUCUCUUUGCUUAAGUGUCACACUGAAAUUAUCUUCCAUUCUGCAUCCCAGCCCAAAAAAAUUACAUGGCAUUUUUGGAUUCUCAGACUACCACAUUCAGUCGCCAUAAAAAACGCUUGCUGGUUGUUCGAGAGCUCAAGGAACAAGCACAGCAGGUGAAUCCUGAUGAUGAAGUGCCCCAUGUUCAAGAGUCAGACCUCUUCUCAGAAACCAGCAGUAUUGUGAGUGGAGGUGACAUGAGUGGCAGAUACUCCCAUAGUAACUCCAGGAUAUCAGCGAGAUCAUCUAAGAAUCGCCGCAAAGCAGAGCGGAAAAAGCAUAGCCUCAAAGAAGGGAGUCCGCUGGAGGACCUGGCCCUUUUAGAGGCAUUAAAUGAAGUGAUACAAAGCACUGAAAAAUUAAAAGAUGAAAUACACCGUAUUUUAAAGGUACUCUUCCUCUUUGAGUUUGAUGAGCAAGGCAGGGAGUUGCAGGAGGCCUUUGACGGUACUUUACAGCUGAUGGAAAGGUCACUUCCAGAAAUUUGGACUCUCACCUACCAGCAGAAUCCAGCCAUACCCGUAAGUUUUCUCAAAGACAGUGCUGUUUUCUGUCAUUUUCUCAGAGAAUUGUCUUCACAUUUCCUUAAAAAUCAAAGCAAAAACGUACUUGUUCUUAAAACAUCAUUUGCCAUGGUUUUAGGUUUAUGUUUAAGCCAUUAGUAAGAUUAUUUCAUAUUUGUCUGUCCAGUGGCUAGUAGAGUUUGGCAUAGGUUAAGUAGGGUGUUGUUUUUCCUUUCUAGGUAAAGAAAUCUAGACAAGUUGGAUAUAGGGAAAAAUGAAGCCUAAGAUGGCUGCACUAUGGUUCAGAUGUGGGUGUGUGGUUUCCCAUGGAUAGUACAUCCAGAGUCAGUGGAAUUCCAGUGCAGGUGCACUUCCCAGUGCCCUGGUGUAAAUAACUGAUAUAACCAAGGUUAAUGUACAUGACCACUGUUAAGCAGACUUGUAUAUAUAUAUCUGGACUGCCACAAGGGCUCGUUGGGUGGGUGCCUGAGGACUGCUGCUGUUGCAGAAUCUGAGAGCAAACUGAGAGGGAGGCCUGGCACCAAGGUACUUGGAAGGCAACAACUUUAU